rnacentral:lncRNA from 1 species
AAGCAGUUUAUUGAUUUUUGACUAUUAGAAUAUAAACAACUGCAAGAAUAUACCAUAAAUCUAUACGGAUGUCCUUCGACUGCUCGCCGAAAUUCUUUUUGCUCCAGUCGCUAGGUUUCUAGACAUUACAGAGAAUCCCAAACAACCCAAACUGCUAAUCUUCGAUACCGCUUUAUACUCAUGAUCUUGUAUCCAUUGACUGUCUUGUUAGAUUAAGCCAAAAAAUUUUCAUUCACUCCGCAUACUCAAUCCUAUAGACACCCUUUUAAUCCUUCAAUCACAGACGUAACUUCAAUUUCACAAAGCAAUCAAGAGUAAUUACACCCACUUCAUUAAAACCUCGAUUCACCAGUACAAUACUGACUUCAGCAACGAUUGCCUCUGUCUUCCCAAAACCCUAUAAAAAAAAAAAAACCCCAAUUCUCUGUCUUUUUU